GAAGAGUAUAAGCAACACGUAAAGGGUAUUCCUUGUCACUAGCAAUCACACCGCACAACCCAUCCGAUCGGUUGUACACAUGAAAAACGUAAUUGGACUGUUCAACGUCUUGUCUUUGCCCUGGAUUAGUACGUUCUGCAACAGUCUUUGUAAAAAAAUUCAUGAACUCUCCGAUGCUGAAAUAUUUGUUAACAAACUACUCUUCAAUUAAAUCUUGCACAUACGAUGAUCGUUGAAAAAAUGAGAAACUAGAUAAGUCUGAGGCAGUGCAUAAUAAUUGCACUGGUUUUGGGUCAAAGCGGAGUAUAGAGACAGAAUACAGCUUCAUUCUGUAAAUAUGCUGUAAAUCAAGUUAAUGGUGUGGGU